CCUCCCUCCCAGCCCUCCGAUCUGGACAGAGUUGCAUAAGGAUCACCUAACAGUGUCUUCAAAUCCUGAGUGGCUUCUUGCUGCCAAAUAGAGCAUGGCAAGCCCCCUCCCCACCCCAAAGACUCACCUUCCAUGCAGUAUUGAACAGCUAACCAUGGUGAGAUGUGGCUGAGAUUUGUGGACAAACAGACAGGAAGGACUGCUUCUCCUUCUCUUGGAAGGAUGCUUCACCUGCCCCACAGUCACUAUGUGCAUGUAAGACUUGAAAAUUCGCAAGUUACAGUUGAAUGUAAUUAUUAAAGAUGUUUUAACAGGUGAU